rnacentral:rRNA from 1 species
GACGAACGCGGCGGCGUGCCUAAUACAUGCAAGUAGAACGCUGAAGGAGGAGCUUGCUUCUCUGGAUGAGUUGCGAACGGGUGAGUAACGCGUAGGUAACCUGCCUGGUAGCGGGGGAUAACUAUUGGAAACGAUAGCUAAUACCGCAUAAGAGUAGAUGUCGCAUGACAUUUGCUUAAAAGGUGCAAUUGCAUCACUACCAGAUGGACCUGCGUUGUAUUAGCUAGUUGGUGAGGUAACGGCUCACCAAGGCAACGAUACAUAGCCGACCUGAGAGGGUGAUCGGCCACACUGGGACUGAGACACGGCCCAGACUCCUACGGGAGGCAGCAGUAGGGAAUCUUCGGCAAUGGACGGAAGUCUGACCGAGCAACGCCGCGUGAGUGAAGAAGGUUUUCGGAUCGUAAAGCUCUGUUGUAAGAGAAGAACGAGUGUGAGAGUGGAAAGUUCACACU